UUAGAUGAAAAUUAAGGAUUGAACGUGCUGGAUCUCGUCUGAUCUCGGAAACUAAGCAGGGUCGGCCCUGCUUAGUGCUUGGAUGGGAGACCACCUAGAAAUACCAGGUGCUGUAGGUG
rnacentral:rRNA from 1 species